CGCGACCCCAGGUCAGGCGGGGCUACCCGCUGAGUUUAAGCAUAUCAAUA
rnacentral:rRNA from 2 species